rnacentral:rRNA from 1 species
GACGAACGCUGGCGGCGUGCUUAACACAUGCAAGUCGAGCGGUAAGGCCCUUUCGGGGGUACACGAGCGGCGAACGGGUGAGUAACACGUGGGUGACCUGCCCUCAGCUCUGGGAUAAGCCUGGGAAACUGGGUCUAAUACCGGAUAUGACUCCAUGACGCAUGUUGUGGGGUGGAAAGCCUUGUGCGGCUGAGGAUGGGCCCGCGGCCUAUCAGCUUGUUGGGGGGUGAUGGCCUACCAAGGCGACGACGGGUAGCCGGCCUGAGAGGGGCGACCGGCCACACUGGGACUGAGACACGGCCCAGACUCCUACGGGAGGCAGCAGUGGGGAAUCUUGCGCAAUGGGCGAAAGCCUGACGC